rnacentral:rRNA from 1 species
AAUGAACGCUGGCGGCAGGCCUAACACAUGCAAGUCGAACGGAUCCUUCGGGAUUAGUGGCGGACGGGUGAGUAACGCGUGGGAACAUACCCUUUGGUACGGAAUAGCCUCGGGAAACUGGGAGUAAUACCGUAUGUGGUCGAGAGACGAAAGAUUUAUCGCCAAAGGAUUGGCCCGCGUUGGAUUAGGUAGUUGGUGGAGUAAUGGCCUACCAAGCCGACGAUCCAUAGCUGGUUUGAGAGGAUGAUCAGCCACACUGGGACUGAGACACGGCCCAGACUCCUACGGGAGGCAGCAGUGGGGAAUCUUAGACAAUGGGGGAAACCCUGAUCUAGCCAUGCCGCGUGAUCGAUGAAGGCCUUAGGGUUGUAAAGAUCUUUCAGGUGGGGAGAUAAUGACUGUACCACCAGAAGAAGCCCCGGCUAACUCCGUGCCAGCAGCCGCAGUAA